AAACCUUGGCAGGGGAGAUACUUUGAUCACGAAUGAGGUUUUCCCAGGGUAAGGCUCAUCCAUUGCACUCUGGGUGUGCUGACCCCUGCAAUUUCCCCAAAUGCAGGAAACUCAACUGCAUAAUUUUACCAUUUUACUGUGUUAUGCUCCUGAUCAUUAC